rnacentral:rRNA from 1 species
AGUUUGAUCCGUGGCUCAGUAUUGAACGCUGGCGAAUGUCUUUACACAUGCAAGUCGAGCGGCAGCGCGGGCAACCUGGCGGCGAGCGGCGAACGGGUGAGUAAUGCAUCGGAACAUGUCCAUGUCGUGGGGAUAGCCCGGCGAAAGCCGGAUUAAUACCGCAUACGCUCGAGAGAGGAAAGCCGGGGGACCGCAAGGCCUGGCGCGAUUGGGUUGGCCGAUGUCCGAUUAGCUAGUUGGUGAGGUAAAGGCUUACCAAGGCGAUGAUCGGUAGCUGGUCUGAGAGGAUGAUCAGCCACACUGGGACUGAGACACGGCCCAGACUCCUACGGGAGGCAGCAGUGGGGAAUUUUGGACAAUGGGGGCAACCCUGAUCCAGCCAUGCCGCGUGAGUGAAGAAGGCCUUCGGGUUGUAAAGCUCUUUCAGCCGGGAAGAAAACGCACGCUCUAACAUAGCGUGUGGAUGACGGUACCGAACCAAGAAGCACCGGCUAACUACGUG